rnacentral:rRNA from 1 species
AGCGUAGGUGGCCUAACAUGUCAACCGUGAAAACCCGGAGCUCAACUCCGGACUUGCAGUUGAAACUGGUAGGCUUGAGGACGGUAGAGGAAGACGGAACUGCCAGUGUAGGGGUAAAAUCCUUAGAUAUUGGCAGGAACGCCGGUGACGAAGGUGGUUUUCUGGGCCGGUUCUGACACUGAUGCUCGAAAGCCAGGGGAGCGAACGG